GUGGAGUUAUGGCUUUUCUGCUCCUUCAUGUAUUGCUGCCAUUGGCUUUUCUGCUUCUUCAUGUAUUGCUGCCAUUGGCUUUUCUGCUCCUUCAUGUAAUGAAUUAGUAUCCUUUUUGUGAAUUUUGUCUAACUGUUUUGAAUCUCCAGGAUAGGACCUUGGUUAUGGUUAUGAUGACCUUGAAAUGUACUUGGGCUGCAAUGGUCCUUAUAAUACUACCUCUGCCUUAUGUUAUCUUGGUCUGAACUGAUAAUUUUAAAUGCCUUUUAUGAACUGACAUGUUAGAAUAGCUUGCUAAUUAGAUAAUAACAGAGGAAAAGUUCAAGCAUUGUAGUGCAGCUUAUAAUAAUUCAUCACCACUUCUUUGAAAUGUUGUUAAUUUCUUUGUAUUCAUAAGACAAUCACCAACGAUCAGGGCGGUAACUACAAAACGGCAAUCUCAAUAUGGGUAAUGGGUUCAAAACCAUAGAGCCUGAUGUCUCAUAAUGAGAAAUGUGAUUUUGGAGAAUUUUUGGUUUAUUUUGAAGAAAAUGUAUUGAAGAAUAAAAAAUUUACAAUCUCAAUAUGGGUAAUGGGUUCAAUGUCACCGAAAUUUCAUCUAUCUUAUUGAUGAAUUGUGUUUUUUAAAUCUAAAUAUUAAAAUCCUAUGGUUGGAGGAAUUUUAUUUUUGAUAGAAUUUACUUGGUGAAAAGGACAUGCAUCAAAGUGAAUAGAGGAUCAGUUGCUGUGAGUAUCGAUGGAGUGUGUUAAUUUUCUUAUACCCAAAUACAGGUGAUUCCUUGUGCUGUGCUGUCUUUGUUCGUUCAUCCCACAACCCAGCAUCAUACUAUUAACCAGAUUUUCUGGGCUUUUUGUGUUUAUCUUGAAGCUGUAUCAGUUCUACCUCAAUUGCGAGUCAUGCAGAACACAAAGAUUGUUGAACCAUUCACAGCACACUAUGUUUUUGCCCUUGGAAUUGCAAGGUUCUUGAGUUGUGCACAUUGGGUCCUCCAGGGUUUUGGAAAUGUAGGUUCUUGGGCUGCACAAUUGAUUGAUGAGAAACCUGCUGUUGGGUUACUUCUCUAUAUGAAGUGAUCCAGUCGUCGUCAUCAAUAUCAGUUUUUGCCUGUUGUGAAUGAGGU